rnacentral:rRNA from 1 species
AUUGAACGCUGGCGGCAUGCCUUACACAUGCAAGUCGAACGGUAACAGGUCUUCGGAUGCUGACGAGUGGCGAACGGGUGAGUAAUACAUCGGAACGUGCCUAGUAGAGGGGGAUAACUACUCGAAAGAGUGGCUAAUACCGCAUGAGAUCUGCGGAUGAAAGCAGGGGAUCGCAAGACCUUGUGCUACUAGAGCGGCCGAUGGCAGAUUAGGUAGUUGGUGGGAUAAAAGCUUACCAAGCCGACGAUCUGUAGCUGGUCUGAGAGGACGAUCAGCCACACUGGGACUGAGACACGGCCCAGACUCCUACGGGAGGCAGCAGUGGGGAAUUUUGGACAAUGGGCGAAAGCCUGAUCCAGCCAUGCCGCGUGCGGGAUGAAGGCCUUCGGGUUGUAAACUGCUUUUGUACGGAACGAAGAGACUCUGGUUAAUACCUGGGGUCCAUGACGGUACCGUAAGAAUAAGCACCGGCUAACUACGUGCCAGCCGCCGCAGUAA